GACGAACGCUGGCGGCGUGCUUAACACAUGCAAGUCGAACGGAAAGGCCCUGCUGGCAGGUUACUCGAGUUGCGAACGGGUGAGUAACACGGGGGUUAUCUGCCCUGCACUUCGGGAUAAGCCUGGGAAACUGGGUCUAAUACCGGAUAUGAGCCAGUUUUAGUGUGAUUGUUGGAAAGUUUUUUCGGUGUAGGAUGAGCUCGCGGCCUAUCAGCUUGUUGGUGGGGUAAUUGCCUACCAAGGCGGCGACGGGUAGCCGGCCUGGGAGGUUGGACGGCCACAUCGGGACCGAGAUACGGCAGAGGGUACUACGGGAGGAAGGAGUGGAGAAUAUCGCAGCAUGGGCGCAAGAGUGAUGAAGGGACGCCGAGUGGGGGAUCACGGCCUUCGGGUUGUAAACUCCUUUCGCUAGGGACGACGCUUUUGUGACGGUACCUAGAUAAGAAGCACCGGCUAAUUACGG
rnacentral:rRNA from 1 species